CACGAAUUCACGUGAGUUAAUUACACCAACAUUUUAUGUAGCAAAAUAUAUAUAUUGAGGUUUAAUUAGGGGUGACAGGCUUAUCAAAUCGGAUGAUAUCUUGAUGUGAGUGACAGAAAUCGAGUUUUUUGGUUAAUUAUAUAGCAAUAAGGUUAUAUAAUAAAUUGAAGAUUUGUUACUUUGUGAAGCAGGUGUAAAAACCCGCAUUACAACAAAGAGAAUAUAUAUUUAAUAAGAUUUAUUAAAUUAGCUUACAAAAAAAUAACCUUAAAAUUUUAAUAAAAUGUUAAUAUAAGUACUUAAUAGGUGUUAAUAGUGAACUCGGCAAGAAAGCUUUCAACUGUUUAUCAAAAACAUAACCAUAUGCCUUACAUAUGGCGUAUUCUGCUCAAUGACAUGUUAAAUAGCCGCAGUACCCUGACUGUGCAAAGGUAGCGUAAUCAUUUGUCUCUUAAUUGGAGUCCUGUAUGAAAGAAUGUAUGGGGGCUUACUUUACCAUUAAUAUAUUUCGAAGUUACUUAAAAGGUGCAAAAACCUUUAGAUAAAUAAAAGACGAGAAGACCCUUGAAAUUUGCAUAGAAGUUUUGUUGGGGCAACAAAGUAGUUUAAACCUACUUCAUAUACACGAAAUGUACUAGUUAGAAUAAAUUACUCUAGGGAUAACAGCAUAAUUCAUUAUGAGUUUGUGACCUCGAUGUUGGAUUAGGAUACUGCAGACUAGAA
rnacentral:rRNA from 1 species